UGCAGUCGAGCGAACAGACGAGGAGCUUGCUCCUYUGACGUUAGCGGCGGACGGGUGAGUAACACGUGGAUAACCUACCUAUAAGACUGGGAUAACUUCGGGAAACCGGAGCUAAUACCGGAUAACAUGUUGAACCGCAUGGUUCAACAGUGAAAGACGGUCUUGCUGUCACUUAUAGAUGGAUCCGCGCCGCAUUAGCUAGUUGGUAAGGUAACGGCUUACCAAGGCAACGAUGCGUAGCCGACCUGAGAGGGUGAUCGGCCACACUGGAACUGAGACACGGUCCAGACUCCUACGGGAGGCAGCAGUAGGGAAUCUUCCGCAAUGGGCGAAAGCCUGACGGAGCAACGCCGCGUGAGUGAAGAAGGUCUUCGGAUCGUAAAACUCUGUUAUUAGGGAAGAACAAAUGUGUAAGUAACUAUGCACGUCUUGACGGUACCUAAUCAGAAAGCCACGGCUAACUACGUGCCAGCAGCCGCGGUAAUACGUAGGUGGCAAGCGUUAUCCGGAAUUAUUGGGCGUAAAGCGCGCGUAGGCGGUUUUUUAAGUCUGAUGUGAAAGCCCACGGCUCAACCGUGGAGGGUCAUUGGAAACUGGAAAACUUGAGUGCAGAAGAGGAAAGUGGAAUUCCAUGUGUAGCGGUGAAAUGCGCAGAGAUAUGGAGGAACACCAGUGGCGAAGGCGACUUUCUGGUCUGUAACUGACGCUGAUGUGCGAAAGCGUGGGGAUCAAACAGGAUUAGAUACCCUGGUAGUCCACGCCGUAAACGAUGAGUGCUAAGUGUUA
rnacentral:rRNA from 1 species